ACUGCAGUCCAGCCGGAGUGCAGAGUGAAAUGCAAUUUGAAGAGGCUGGCUUUUGGUGUGUCACUGAAAGCCACUGAGUAUAUGGGCACGGGGAGACCGUUCAGUGUGCCUAAGGAUGAGCUCUCGUCCCUUGGUGGGGGACUGCAUGAUGCCAGUCAAGGCACACACAUCCUGCAUCCAGCUUGUUCCUCACGCCUCUGAAUCUGGGACUUAAACUGCACAGUUGACUAGGUAGGACUCAGCCACCUUCAUCGCCAUUUCAGUGACCGGCCCGAUAAUAUUCUUGUCUCCAAGUUACAGACGAAGGAAUGUAGACUCCGAGAUCACACAGAGGGAAGCCAGGAUCUGAACCCAGGAAGGGGCCACCCCUCUGUCUUAGUGGUUGAAGAAACUGGAUCCCACACAGCUGAUUGUGGUUCAA